CUUUUAGCUGACAUUGUCAAUUCCCUACCUACAUCCCUGUGGCAAUGAUGCUUCAUACAUGACUUCCAAACUUCAGUCUACCUGCACCUGCAGCUCUGCCUGAGUGUUAUCUGGCUGUUGAAGCCACUGAGCAAGCCAACAUUGCCCAUAUAUUCUCCAUUUCCCUUUGGGUGGGUAGUAAAUACCCACAUUCCUGUCCUCAUGAAGUGGGAUAGCUUUGAGGCCCAUGUUCUAAACUAUUUUCUAGUUCCCAAGAUAAAUUAAGCUCCAGUUGUCUACAGUGGCAACUUUCUUGAGGACACACCCUUUGUUAGCCCUUUAUUACUUCACCUCCCUACUCUCCUACCAGUUUUCUAGAAUUGCCUUUCAAAUAAAUUCUUUAUCUUCAUCUCAGGAUUCUCUUCUGUUGGAAUAUAAACUAAGACAGAACUGUGCACACAGGAGCUUACACGUUGCCUUCUCUGGAGCAUUCUUGUAGAAUUCACAGGCUUCUAGGAAGGGGAAUUACUCCCGAAAAACUUUGUGUGAGUCCAUGCUCAAGGAGUAAAGCCUUAUGCUAUUAAAUGGGGCACUUCUGAAGAAAGAGAAAGUUAAGAAGGAGGGUUAUUUCCAAAAGCCAUAUUUCCCCUUUUCACAACUCUUUGGGUGGGGAAGACUGACUAUGGACAUUAGGAAACCCCUUCACUAAAUGUGGGAAGGGCUUUUGAAAGGGGCACGUCUGCUUUCUGUCUUGGCAAGUGUUGCUUGUAGCAUAUUUCCUGACAUUUCAGUAGAGAAUGCGGCUCUGUGUAAAUUCAGAAGCAGCCCCAGAACCACCAAUUAUAGAGAUAAUAAUUUCUGCUCAAUAAUAUGUAAAAAUGCUACUUAAAGCUAACCCUCAAUUAUAGCCUAUAAAUGAUGACAAACGUAUUUCUCUGUUGUGGCAGAAAUUAAAGGCUUGCUUACUGCUUAAGACAUGAUUUAUCUGAUGGGAAAACAAAUGAAUGACAAUAUGUGGUCUUCCUUUAGUAACUGUAUUUGCUGUGGGGUUAGCAUCAGAAAAGUGGGGAAGGAGGCAGGGUAAAGAAAUAUGCGUAUGCUGUAUGGUGAAGGCAAGGCACAAGGUCUGUCCGUGGGUGAACAUGGGGCUGAUGAAUCCAUGGCCAGGAAGUCAAUUUCUACUUGGAUAGGUGAAUUUCAUGGCAAGAGAAAAACAGCGGUCCUGGAAUAACAGGAGUGAGGACCUAGAAUUUUAAUGUCUAAUAUGCGGUGUGAAUUAAAGAAGCGGCCUUGCUAUGCUGACCUUUUCAAUAUUCUAAUCUUUGCUUUGCUGACCUCUCAGGCCUCUUCCUGGCAACAGUUAGGCUUUUGAGAGGAGAGAGAGCUGAGACUGUUGGCUCCUUCCCAUUUAUGAGAGAGCCACAUGACAUCAGCCCAUAGACUGUGGAGAGUAUUCCAGAUCUAUCACAUUCUGCGAUUCUGCGAUUCCCAGAAGGCUGGUCAUGAAAAAAUUCCCUCUUCAGUUUACAUAUAUGGCAGUGAUGCACAUUGUUCUUUUGGUUGUGAAAAAUUCGAAGAAGUAGAUGUGGUCCUGGUUGAUGGAUGAACAUUGAGGCCCUCAAGUGCAUAAAGCUCCAGUGCCAUGACAGUUUUAAUCUUCUGGUUCCAUCUGCAUAGAUUUCAGUCUCUAAUUGAGGAAAAUCAUCUGUUUUUCUCAGGAGCCCCUUGAUUCAAGUUUACACAAAAUGUGCCUUUGGAGACUAUCCUGUUAAUUUAAACAGUUCAGAUCCCACUUGUAUGUGAGACAGAUGCUUCUCUGGCCAUCAGCCAGGUACCACUAAAGGAGGUACAGGCACUUCUAGAUAUCUGUUGAGGCCUGGAAGGGGCAAAACAAUUCAGGAAGCAGUUGAAGAUAAAGGGGUUUACCAUGGAAGAGAAGAUCCAGGUGCCUUCAUGGAAAUGCUUGUGGUUGAAAAGAGAUGAAGAUGAGGGUCCCUGGAAAGAGGAAGAACCAGCCAGGAAAAUUAUACCAUUAGCAAGACUGGCAUCAGCAAGUAGUUCGCAGUGUUGGUUGUUCUUGGUUUCGCAGGAUUUUAUAGGAGAGUUUCUGUCAGGCCUUUGAGCCCAAGCUAAGCCAUCAUACCCCUGUGACCUACACGUUAUACAUCCAGAUGGCCUGAAGCAAUUGAAGAUCCACAAAAUAAGUGAAAAUAGCCUUAACGGAUGACAUUCCACCAUUGUGAUUUGUUUCCACCCCACCCUAACUGAUACAUAUAUUCUCCCCCACCCUUAAGAAGGUACUUCGGAAUGUUCUCUCCCGCUCUUAAGAAUGUGCUUUGUAUGCCUAUCCCAAACCUGUAAGAACUAAUGAUAAUCCCACCACCCUUUGCUGACUCUUUUUUUUGGACUCAGCCCAUCUGCACUCAGGUGAAAUAAACAGCCUUGUUACUCACACAAAGCCUGUUUGGUGGUCUCUUCACAUGGAUGUGCGUGACAUUUGGUGCCGUGACUAGGAUUGGGGGCCCUCCCUUGGGAGAUCAAUCCCCUGUCCUCCUGCUCUUUGCUCCAUGAGAAAGAUCCACCUACGACUUUGGGUCCUUAGACCAACCAGCCCAAGGAACAUCUCACCAAUUUUAAAUCGGGUAAGCAGCCUCUUUU
rnacentral:lncRNA from 10 species